rnacentral:rRNA from 1 species
GGGGAAUUUUGGACAAUGGGCGCAAGCCUGAUCCAGCCAUUCCGCGUGAGUGAAGAAGGCCUUCGGGUUGUAAAGCUCUUUCGCAAGGGAAGAAAACUUAUCCUCUAACAUAGGAUGAGGUUGACGGUACCUUGAUAAGAAGCACCGGCUAACUACGUGCCAGCAGCCGCGGUAAUACGUAGGGUGCGAGCGUUAAUCGGAAUUACUGGGCGUAAAGCGUGCGCAGGCUGUUUUGGAAGUCAGAUGUGAAAUCCCCGAGCUCAACUUGGGAACUGCGUUUGAAACUACAAGACUAGAAUAGGUCAGAGGGGGGUAGAAUUCCACGUGUAGCAGUGAAAUGCGUAGAGAUGUGGAGGAAUAUCAAUGGCGAAGGCAGCCCCCUGGGAUCAUAUUGACGCUCAUGCACGAAAGCGUGGGGAGCAAAC